GAACGCGUAGUUUAGCGGUAAAACCUCCACACCAAAAAGCCGGCUGGGACAGCCUCGCAUUCCAGAUUAGCUGGGAUCGCAAGUAUGCCACCCUCUGCUUGUGCGGUGAUGUGGAAGACCUGUGUUCGAUUCACAGCGCGUUUG